UGCUGGAAACACCACCUAUUUCGAUGGUAUACUUGCCGCUAUCCUCCACUUUGGGAUUCAUGAUAAUCAACUGCUGCUGCCACAAGUGCCUGAUUUUCGGGAUGACAUACGCACCCUGCAGCAAAUUGAACAGCUUACCAACAGGAGCCGAUGUAGCUGUUUUGGGCCAGCGCUAGUUAAAGAUACUAUACGUGGUUUCUCCACAAACGUGGGACCUUCGCCUUCCGGCUCUGGUUCAGCCUCGAUAUUCAAGUUAAGAUUCGCAUUCGAUUCUCCAUAUUCGUUUUUAACGUUACAUCGGUAAGUUCCACCGUCUGCAGCUCCAGGAUCCUGUAUGGAAGAAAAAAGCAUAAAAUAAAUACAAAGGACUUCGGUACUCGGUCCGAUAAAGUUUGUGAAUUACAUUUUCAAGAUUCCUUUCUUGUUACCCAUCUUUCAAAACAACGUUAGAAGAAAUUAAGCGUAUUCUAAAUAAGCCUAGCUGUAAAAACGACUAAGCAUUCGGUUAAAAUGCGUAUGAAUAGCAAGAACAAAUGUAAGGACAUGGGCUCUUUGAAGCCCACGAUUACUGAAAUAGCGGACCAACCAAAUUAACUCUGACCACUGCGUUUUUUACACAUAUGCGUAUUCAAUAAGACACUCAUAUACGUAUGUACAUAUGUACAGCCCGAUUCACUUGAAUAGGUUCACAUUUUUUGCUCAUGAUACAAUCUUAUAUCUGGGGGGUUACUAUGUAAUUAGAUUCGAAACUUUAAACUACUCGAAAGUUGUAUUCGAUACGAAUAUGAACUCCUACUAUCUAACACUUUCGGAUCGAGUAUACAUAUUUAGGAGCACUGAAGUAAAAUCCAGGAACUAACGAAUUAAUAUCGCUCAUUUGCUGCAAGAGUGUCAUAAUACAAACUGAAAUUACCGCCACCUCAAGCAGCAAAGGC